CUCUCCUUUCCCUCCCAGAACUGAGGAUCAGAGAAUUCAGGGCUGGAAGGAAGGUCUUGGGGCCAAAGCCUUGGUCUUUCGAAGGUAGUUCUUGCAUGUGGAGUGGUGGAAUGGGGUCUGGAGUUUGGGCCACACUGAGAUGCCAUUUCUCUGAUCAUCAUACCUGAUGCACAAUCCAAGGAGACGGCCCAGGGUCAUCUCUUCUGCCUGAAUAGCUGAGAGGAGUCCUGCAAUCUUAGAGCCAUUUUCCCAAGAAACCUGACCUAGAACAUACUCUCUCUUAAGAUUCAAAUAAACUGUUGUCAAGAACUGUAAAA
rnacentral:lncRNA from 1 species